rnacentral:sRNA from 1 species
UCAAGAUGUUUGCCUUUGUUACUUUAAGC